GCCUCGAUAGCGCAGUAGGCAGCGCGUGAGUCUCAUAAUCUCAAGGUCGUGAGUUCGAUCCUCACUCGGGGCA
rnacentral:tRNA from 1 species